rnacentral:rRNA from 1 species
UGGGGAAUUUUGCACAAUGGGGGAAACCCUGAUGCAGCGACGCCGCGUGAUUUAGAAGGCCUUCGGGUUGUAAAAAUCUUUUCUAUGGGAAGAAAAUGACAGUACCAUAGGAGUAAGGACCGGCUAAUUACGUGCCAGCAGCCGCGGUAAUACGUAAGGUCCGAGCGUUGUCCGGAAUCAUUGGGCGUAAAGGGUACGUAGGCGGGUAAGCAAGUUAGAAGUGAAAUCCUAUAGCUCAACUAUAGUAAGCUUUUAAAACUGCUCAUCUUGAGGUAUGGAAGGGAAAGUGGAGUACCUAGUGUAGCGGUGAAAUGCGCAGAUAUUAGGAGGAAUACCGGUGGCGAAGGCGACUUUCUGGCCAUAACCUGACGCUGAGGUACGAAAGCGUGGGUAGCAAACAGG